UAAGGCUGCGCUGGGAUUGCGAGCGAGAUCGCGCCUGUGCUUAAAGCAGCUUUUCAGUGGGAGGAAGGCUGAUGUGUCAUUGAUUCUCGUCUUUAAGUAAACGUGAAGCUGCAAAUUAAGUCGAGAGCACUUGGAGGCUCCCCUCCUCUAGCAGGUGGCGCCGGGAGAUGAUUUAGAGGUGAAAUGACAGGGUUUCCACCCCUUGAAUCCUGGCUACUUUCUCCCGGUGCGUUUCAGUGCUGAUGUUUUAUUCUGUCUGCAAGCAGCGCUGGAGCCGAGCCGAGGCACUACAGAGUUUUCAAACAGGGACCUGGACGAUUAUUUUAGGAACUCCCUGCCAGAGGAAUGAAUGGAUCUGAAAGCGAGUGUUAGGUCUUUCGGAUGAGCGCUCCGUGGGCUUUGUGCUCCUGGCUGGAUUACUCAGACUAUUGCAAUGGUCUCUGCCAUGUCCUGCUUGCUGUAUUUCUGGAUAAGUGCCAGUGCCUUGCUGCUAUGUCAAGCCACCUACUAUGGCGACAUAGAAGAUCCAAGACCAGUAGGAGUCCCUUCGGGAUUCUAGAAGGAGGCACGUGUGAGGUGAUAGCAGCGCACAGAUGCUGUAACAAGAACCGAAUCGAGGAGCGGUCGCAGACGGUGAAGUGCUCCUGCCUGCCUGGCAAAGUGGCCGGAACCACGAGGAACAAGCCGUCAUGUGUCGAUGCUUCCAUUGUUAUUGGGAAAUGGUGGUGCGAGAUGGAGCCCUGCUUGGAAGGUGAGGAAUGCAAGACGCUGCCCGAUAAUUCAGGAUGGAUGUGCUCUUCUGGAAACAAAAUCAAGACCACAAGAAUUCACCCCCGGACCUAACGCUGAAUGUGCAGACGACAGAUUAGAAUGGAAACAUUUCAUGGAUACCAUGAGCAACACGGUCUCUUUCAUCACCAAGCCAAAUGGGAUUUAUUUUUGCAAAUCUCCUAAAGUGACUGUAAACUUUAAAAAAAAAAAAGAAGAAGAAGAAAAGGCGUCUGUGUAAGUAAGUGAUGAAUGAAAGCGGGAGUCACACGCGGGGGGACGCAGUCUGCACGUGGAUGGUCUCCUGUAAAGCACUUUAGACUUGACGGCUUUCAACAGCUGCGUCCGGGCUGACAUCUGCCCCGUGCCAAAGCCACAAGACUGGGACCACCUAUUGGCCAGGCCUUCGCUGGGACUUUGUGGAGGCACAGCUGGCACUGCACUUCAUGCAAUACCCGCAUGCUGGCAUUGGGUUUAGAGCUCCUCAUUGUGCUUUCACUGUCUGAGGAACACCAAAAAAAAAAAAAGGAAAUGCCAACCCCCCCCCCUCACCCCACCAUUACCCACCCAAGGAGCCUCAUGCCUACUGACCUCUCCUCGUCUGGGUGUUUCUGUUGUGCCCGUUGUCACUCACAUACAUACAAAGGGAUUGUGUGCAAUUGAUCUUCGUUUCUCUUUUAUUUAUCAUAGGAAAAUGGUGGUCACCCCCAACUCCACCACCACCCACCCCAGUUCUCUGUCACUCUGAGAAGACCGAAGUUUAAAAACCUAACUUGACAAACCUGCGGAGGCACCAGCUACUGGGGUCAGAGGGGACCUGAGGACACUGAAAUGUUAAUAUCAGAUUGGGGGGGGUGCUGAUCCUGGAAGAUUAAAACAUGAAAAUAUGGCAGGGGUACCCGCUGAACAGACGCACACUUGACAGGCCCCACAACUUGUGCCCAGCUCAGGACUCGGUGAGGCCCGUUAGACACGUCACAUCCAGGUGGGCGACACAUUUGUUACCAAUAAGCGGCUCCUGUCCCCCCUGACAGAUGGAGCUCGGCCUCGUCAUUCUUCUCUCAAGCUGCACGUUCAUCCAGUGUGACAGUCCAUAACGCAUGCCGGUGAAGACCCCCAUAAGGCGAACCCUCAAAAUUCCAAAACGGCUUCAAUUGGGACGAGACGAUGAGUGCACGCCUGAGUCCCAGCGCUGAGCCCCCUUUCCCCUAACGUUGUGCCAAACUCAAGUGCCCAGGGACUCGGCAGUUUCGUUUAACACACAGUUCUACCACAUUGACUCGAAGACUCGUUUCCCAUGUGGUUUCAUAACUUCAAAGCCCCCUAAGAUGGCUGUCUGGGGUUUUUUACAUCCGUCCCCCCGUGCCACCUGGCGUAAGCUCAUAAUCUGCAGCGUCACCCUUGUCAUCUUCCAUGCACACUCGUGUUCUGUGCUCUGUGUCCCCAACUCCGUAAGCCCAUCCAAGCUGAGAUCCUCCUGGACUUUAGCAGCACCUGUGAGCUGUUUGCAAGUUACGGCCCACCCAGAUGUGUCCCACUUCCAGGGGGUCCUUGCUGUGUGACAAUGGGUGGGUUGGGAUGUCUCAGUGCUAACAUAUAACACUGGGUGUUUGCGGACAGACAUGUGGUGGGGCAGAUAGAGACGCAUGUAACGAGACCCCCCACCCCGCAUUGUGGCGUAGUAGGGGGGCUGCGUGUCCUUGCAUUAAUUCUUUAUGCGUCUGCCCCACAUUUACCAUUUAAAUAAAGAAGUCAAGUAAAAGAACCAAACAGCGAAGUGCGCAUAUCCUUAACUAGGACAAGACGGCCCACCAUAGCGGUGCAGACAGCGAGAGUGGGCUGCAGUGACUGUCUGUGCGCCAAGAAGACACAGCAGUGGGCACAAUGGCGGGUCACAUUCUUACAGGAGUGUGCGGCGUGAGCAAAGGGCACAAGCAGGAUUAGGCGAUGCCUUAUAGAAACCCGAGGGUGUGAAGUGGGCUCUGAGGAGCAACAGAAACUCUUCAAGCCCCCCAAACCCCUUCAGUGAGUUUUGUGUUUUAAGCAAAUGUCAGCAUCCGCUCCGCUAAUUUUUGAGUCGUAGCCGCCGGCCUUUGAUAUUAACGAGUUUACUUUAUGGGGAAAUCUCUCUGUUGUGUUUUGGCACCAGAGACCACCAAGGGACAAAGUGAUGUAAUGAAAUAAUCUGUAAACGUAUCUAUGAAAACAGAAUGGGGGUCUCUAACCCCACCGCUUCCGACUUCUUAUAAAGCACACGGCAGGACCUGCGAUUCGUGUCCAGAUUUGGGAAACGCCACACUCGCCUUCUGAUGGCGCCGCUGGACACGUGUUAUGGGUGGUCUACGUCCCGUUACGAUGGUGGUCUUGGUGACCUCAAUCCCAAAGAUGCAUCAGAAACAGAAAAGAAAGUCAGCGCUGAGCAAAGCACAAAGUGUGCGACUCCUCCGCUGGCAUGCGGCGGUUGCUAGGUAACGGCGGGAAGGGAAUUUUGGCAGGGUGGGCCGAGUUUUCCUGUGGAGGAGACCCAGCACUGUGCACGGUGGGGCGUUGUGACGCGAUUGGUGUAGAAACUUUGUCAUGAAAUAAAACAGCAUGCUCUCCUCCAUGGUGACGUGGACGAGGUGGCGUAAACAGAACGGAAUUCGGCAGGCUGGCACGGAGCACAGGUGAACAUGGAAGAGUGAUGGGGGCUUUUGGGGGUCCUCGUUUUCUACCCCCUCAAAAAUCUUUUAAAAAGUUCAGUUUUUAGCGAGUUUCAGGAAACAAAUUUUAUCGUUACUAUUGUAAAACUUUAUGCAAAAUGAAGCCCACCAGUUUCACUCAUCUCCAACUCAGAUGUUCGCUGGAGGUCUUGGUCAUGUGAUCCAUUCUCCGUUUUUAUUGACUUAUCAGGGAGAAGGAGAGCAGGCGGUGAGCUCCGUCAGACGAUCGCUAACAUCGAGGAGCUGCUCCGGGCACUGAGGUGGGCUGGGGACCCCUGCCAUAACCCAGUCAGAUCUAUGCCAGUUCUUUCCCGUUGGCACACAUUCAAACGCCUGUUUACAAAAACAGAAAAUCAUCUCACGCGGGCAGCAGACCUCCUUGAGAUUUCCGAUUGUUCUUCAAAAACUGACUUGAGGACCCCAGCUACAAGGGGGGCCGUGAACACGAAGUGUUGGUUCUCUGACCCCCAGUUUCUACAGCUGGCCUUCUGCCAAGGGUUCGUCCCCCUUAGUGUACCAUAUUGAACCGACGUAGGGAGAUUUUUAGAAACUUGCUAAUUCUGAACAACGAGCAUUUUAUAAACGAGAUGUCCAUUUUUUAAAAUCAUGCGAUGAGCUUUUUUUGCAAGUGUCUCUUUGGCCAGUUUGUCCUUCAUGUUUGACCCCCCCUAUAGUUUCAUGACAUGAUACUGUGACGCCACCACCCUGCUGCAGACAGACACAGGGAGGACCUCGGGAGGAGCGGACGGAGACGCGCCCAAACCCGAUAACGUUUUACGACUAAACCCGGUGCCCAUUUUCUAGCGACUCUUCAUCUUUCUUUUUUUCUUUCU